AGCCGGGAGCACCGGCGGUUGGGCUGCUUCGUUCCGCGUCGCUAUCCACCCACUCGGCUAACGGCGAGUCUAACUGACCUGAGCUAGUGUGGGGAUCCUGGGAGAAGUGCCCUGAAAGCUUCCUAGCGGAGGCGGGGAAAUGGCUCGGUGAUGAGACGUAGAGCCUCACGAAACUGGAUUCCUCGACCUCCCCGUAAAGUUGGAAUAAUGCACUUUCCAGAACUUUUCUUCAUAUUAGAAGUUAACUCGAUCCGGUGCGCCUUCCUCGGCACGUUUAAGUUGGAAGGAGCGGCCAGUGCACGUGGGGCUCCACAAACAGCUCAUCCCAGUUUGAUGUUGGUAUCAGAAGACGUCACUCUCUAAAAUGGAAUUAAAAUGAGGAAGGCUGAGAUAUUUAUUCAGUACAGUUAACACGUGGCAUCUGCAAAUUCAACACUCGGCUGCUUCAACUGUCAAUCAAGACCCCCAAAGUGUGGGAAUGCACAGUUUGGCUGCAGCACAGACAAGAACAGUGCUGCCCAGCUGGGUACCGCUGAGUGAGGAGAACCCACCACCCAGCUUCCCAAAGUAGCUUUGUGAUUCUCAGUGAAUGGUCCAGCAGGCAGAAACCUACUGGAAAAAAGUUGUUUUCAAAACCUUGUUGCGGGUGGGGUAAAGCUCAGUGGUAGA